CUUAUACUCUCUCCGUUCCGAAUUACUUGUCUUAAAUUUGUCACUAAAAUAAGUCUAGAUACAUCUGUAUCUAGACAAAUCCAAGACAAGUAAUUCGGAACGGAGGGAGUAUCUU
rfam:Triticum aestivum genome assembly, contig: Triticum_aestivum_CS42_TGACv1_scaffold_405682_5BL